rnacentral:rRNA from 1 species
CUGAUCAAACUGCGAAUGCCGUGUCAGAGGAGCCCGGCAGCCAGACCAUGGGUGAUAAGGUCCGUGGUCGAGAGGGAAACAGCCCAGACCGCCAGAUAAGGUCCCAAAAUACAUGCUAAGUGGAAAAGGAUGUGGGGAUGCACAGACAACUAGGAGGUUGGCUCAGAAGCAGCCACCCUUUAAAGAGUGCGUAACAGCUCACUAGUCGAGUGACCCUGCGCCGAAAAUGUACCGGGGCUAAGCAUGAUACCGAAGCUGCGGAUUCUGAGGAAUGGUAGGGGAGCGUUGCAUGCACGUGGAAGCCGUACCGGAAGGAACGGUGGAGAGCAUGGAAGAGAGAAUGCCGGUGUGAGUAGCGAGAUGCAGGUGAGAAUCCUGCACACCGAAAGCCCAAGGAUUCCAGGGGAAGGUUCGUCCGCCCUGGGUAAGUCGGGACCUAACGCGAGGCCGAAAGGCGUAGUGGAUGGAAAACGGGCAGAUAUUCCUGUACCCGUAAUGCAAGUGAUGGAGUGACGGAGAAGGCUAGUGUGACCCUAUGAAUGGAUUUAGGGCGAAGCGGAGCAGCAGGCUUACAGUGAAAUGCGUAAGCGAGAUGCAGGACGCGAUAGGUAAGCGAACGCGCGAGCAAGUAGCGAAGCACAUGAGGCCAGCUUCCAAGAAAAGCUUCUGGCGCAAAUUGGAUUACGGCCCGUACCAAAACCGACACAGGUGGGCAAGGAGAGUAUCCUAAGGUGAGCGAGAGAACUGUUGCCAAGGAACUCGGCAAAAAUACUCCGUAAGUUCGCGAGAAGGAGUGCUCUUGAGAGAGAGCCGCAGCGAAGAGGCCCAAGCGACUGUUUAACUAAAACACAGCUCUCUGCGAAGUCGCAAGACGAAGUAUAGGGGGUGACGCCUGCCCGGUGCUGGAAGGUUAAGGGGAGGAGUUAUCGAAAGAGAAGCUCUGAACCGAAGCCCCAGUGAACGGCGGCCGUAACUAUAACGGUCCUAAGGUAGCGAAAUUCCUUGUCAGGUAAGGUCUGACCCGCACGAAAGGCGUAACGAUUUGGGCGCUGUCUCGGCAGCAGACUCGGUGAAAUCUUAGUACCUGUGAAAAUGCAGGUUACCCGCAACUAGACGGAAAGACCCCAUGGAGCUUUACUGCAGCCUGAUAUUGGAUUUUGAUUCAGCAUGUACAGGAUAGGUGGGAGACUGAGAGACAUGCACGCCAGUGUAUGAGGAGUCGACGUUGGGAUACCACUCUUGCUGGAUCGGAGUUCUAACCUGUGCGCCUGGAACGGCGCAAGGGAGAGUGUCAGGCGGGCAGUUUGACUGGGGCGGUCGCCUCCCAAAGAGUAACGGAGGCGCCCAAAGGUACGCUCAGAUUGGUUGGAAAUCAAUUGAAGAGUGCAAAUGCAGAAGCGUGCUUGACUGUGAGAGCAACAACUCGAACAGGGACGAAAGUCGGGAUUAGUGAUCCGGCGGUGCCGAAUGGAAGGGCCGUCGCUCAACGGAUAAAAGCUACCCUGGGGAUAACAGGCUGAUCUCGCCCAAC